GCGCCCGUAGCUCAGUCGGAUAGAGCAACAGAUUCCUAAUCUGUAGGCCACAGGUUCGAAUCCUGUCGGGCGUGCCA
rnacentral:tRNA from 1 species